rnacentral:rRNA from 1 species
UACAGAGGGUGCGAGCGUUGUUCGGAAUUACUGGGCGUAAAGCGCGCGCAGGCGGCUCUUUAAGUCUCGUGGUCAAAUGCCGGGGCUCAACCCCGAGCGUGCCGGGGAUACUGGAGGGCUGGAGACAGGUAGAGGCAAGCGGAAUUCCGGGUGUAGCGGUGGAAUGCGUAGAGAUCCGGAAGAACACCGGAGGCGAAGGCGGCUUGCUGGACCUGGUCUGACGCUGAGGCGCGAAAGCGUGGGGAGCAAACAGG